GACGAACGCUGGCGGCGUGCUUAACACAUGCAAGUCGAACGGAAAGGCCUUCUUUGCCUGGUGGUUUGCGGGGACUCGAGUGGCCAACGGGUGAGUAACACGGGAGUGAUUUUUCCCUAACUUGUGAAUAAGGGAGGGAAACUGUGAUAAAGCCUCCGUCCGACUGGUGGGAGGUGCCGGUGGUCGGACAUUGUGCUCUUGUAGGAGGCGAUGAGGUCGCGGCCUAUCAGCUUGGUGGUGGGGUACUGGGGCAACAAGGCGGCGACGGGUAGCCGGCCUGAGAGGGUGGACGGGGACAUUGGGACUGAGAUACGGCCCAGACUGGUAGGGGAGGCAGCAGUGGGGAGUAUUGGAGGAGGAGCGGAAGCCUGAUGCAGCGGCGCGGGGUAGGAGAUGACGGCGUUCGGGUUGUACACUCCUUUCGACAGCGAGGAAGCCACUUGGUUGGAAGGGUGGUGACGGUAGUGGUAGAAGAAGCACCGGCUAACUACGUG
rnacentral:rRNA from 1 species